GCAAAUAUUGAAUACCAUAUGAGGUUAAGUAUUUCAGAUGUUAAAAAGUUCUUCUUGCUGGUUAUAAAUUACAGCUGUGAACUUAAUUGGCUCUCUAAUGAUUGAUUGAAUAUACCACUCCCCAUUGCAUGUUAGAUUAAAGACAUCAUUUAGGGGAUCUGUUAGGUAACCAGUAAGAAUGGCAUUCCACAUAGUACUAUGAGGUCUUAACACAUCACUAACUAAUAAUAAAUUAAUUAAUCAGCCAGCAGAAAGUGAUGUAAUAUCAAGGGAGCUAUAAAGGGAUGUCCUUAUAUUGCCUCUCAUUCUGUAGUUGGGAUUCAGUGAGGUUGCACUUGUUCCUGUAAACAGGAAUAGUUUCGUUCAGGAUUUGAAAUUUUCCUAAGUUCUCUGUUUGGUGACAUGUAUAAACAGAGGUAGACUAUAAGGUUCCACCAUUCUUGAUUGAAAAUAGGGAACGUAACAUCAUCUAAUUUCAACCAAAUUUAUAUAUAUUUUUUUUGAAGUCUAUCUAGAUAUUAUAUUUAUCGAAUUGAAUAUGUGAUUGGAUGUAAUCAUUGGAUAUUCUAAACCUUUCUAAUCAAUGGUAAUCACUCCUACUAUAAGAACUGAUUCCAAACCCCUGAUGAAGUCCUAACGGACGAAACGCGUUGGGUUUUGCAACGUCUGGUUAACAAAGUCCUUAUCACAAACAUCUGGUUGGAGAUACAUCCAUUUCGAGUUCUGACUGUGAUCACCUGGCUGUAAAAUCCUCACAUCCAACUGUAAUUUAUGUAUAAGAUUGUAAUAUUGUUUUAUAUGAAUUUUUAGAAGGUUGUGUCAAUAACAAACGCUUAGGAUAAAUAUCGUUUGUUUCUGUACAAUAAAAACUUUUAAUUAUUGUCAUACAAAAGGCA